UGCAGCACACUUCUUCUCCGCAAAAUUGGCACCGCGCUUCCUGAAAUGCAAAGUCAUUAAGAAGCAUUCGGAUGUCGUAUAUGAUCUUCAGGAGAUAGACACGGGUAAAAUUGGAAAAUAUCAUGUCAAGGACAUAAUUAAAGUCCCACAAGGUGUAUGUCACACGUAACAAUUUAUUUUAUAUUAUUAGGGCAUAUUAAGAUUUAGCCCAUUCUUUUUUUUCAAGCAUACAUGCUUCUUUGACCCAACUGGUCAACAUUUGUUCCAAGCAUUUCCUAGGAAAUCAAAUUUUAUAAGUAACUACAUACCCUAAGGGCCCAGGGUGACUCAAUUAUGGUGGAUAUAAUACACUAAGUAGGACAUGGAAAAGAAAACCAAGUUUUUCUUUUUCAAUUAAUGCAAGCCCAUUGGCUGCAUAUUGGAGUUUGAUUUAAGUGCGGGUUACAAGUAACUUCCACUAUUGCUAGUAUAAGUAAUAAAUAAAAACUACCAACUAGUAACCACAUUAUAUUAGGGUACUAGUGGCUUUGUAUUUGUAGGAAUAUAGGCAUAGCAGAGCAUGCUAUAGUAAAACAUAACUAUUAGUAUAUCAAUAGGUAGCAUUAAAUUAGGAAUAGAAAUACAUGUAAUAUACUAAUUAAUUAGAAUAAAUUAGCCUAAUCAAAGAUAACUAAUAUUUUUGUUAGCAUUAAAAGAUAUCAAUUAGCCUCAAAAUGAGAGUUAGCUCAUUAUUAACUAUAGCGACUACAUUAUACAACUUAAGACUAUUUCAAAGGAAAUCUAGGUUAUAUUUUUUAGUUGAGUAGCAGAAACCACAGUGUGGUGGCCACACGCUGUGAUUUCUAAUGUGAAACAUGUGAUAGUCAUGAUCUGACCACAGCAUAGUGUUAGGAGGUGUACGUCUACGUUAUAGUUCUAGAACAUAAUAUAGGUAAAUUAAAGAUAAAUAUUAAGUAGCAUACUAAAUAAAUAAAUAUAGGUUUAGUGUCAAACGAUAAUAAAUAUGGAGCGCAUGUAUAUGUCCGCAUGUAUAGUUAACGUCCUACUGGACCAGAUGAUUUUUUGGGAAAAGAUUUUUUUUUUUUUUUUUUUUCUCCGGUUACCCCGGCUGCCUCGGUUAAGCGGCGCUUAACCUCUUUGCCGAGAGAGGGGAUAUUGUAGCGAUGCUACGUAUUUGCUUAGGAUAAAUACAUGUUUUUCCAUACAAGAUAACCGGUACAACAUGACUGUCGCAUUUCCAACAAAAUAACAUACACCAGAGUAUGACACUUAUGUAAAACUAUAAUGUACCUCCUCAGCUGUAGGUUGGUUGGCGUAUCCUGCCUCCUGGUUAACUGGUUUCGAAGAAACAAGGCUAAAGAGUAUGCCACUUGAACGGAACUUGUCACCCAGAUUGCGCGGAGAUUGGUGAACCAAACCUGGCUUCAUGCAUACCAAAAUGAUCCCCCUGGUCUACCCCAACUGCUCAAAUAGGUCACUUCCUAAUUUAAUUAGUAUUUUAGAAUCAUUUUCGGAAUUUUUAUGAAACAUAAAUAGUGAAUAUGAAGGUGUGAAAAGGUUGAAAUUUUGACAGGAGAACUGUCAGAGAGUAGACUAUGCGUUUAGUUACCGCAUCGGAAAGAAGGUAUUCUGAAUGAAACAAGGUAGGAAACGUACGAUAGAAAUAUAAUUAUUAGUAAUUAUUAUUAACCACUUAAAAUAUUACAAGUAUUAAUGAGCAUUGAUAUUUUUUCGAGAGUCAUAUGAUUUGGAAAAGGUUUAAGUUGGUUUGACGUUUGAUGCGUCGAUAUGGAUCGAAACGGAGGGCUGGGGAUUUUGCUAGAAUCGACAAUGGAUGGGGGAGUUGGUACUGGGGCACGCUAGCAUUUAUACAGCUCCUAAUUGAAUAUCGAAAUAAACCGCCUCGCCCCCUUCCGCCGCCUGCCCUGGCCGGUGGAAGAUUGGGAUAUAUGUAAAGUGCGCCGUGUGUGUGUGUGUUGUGCGCGAAAAGGGCGUAGCCCACCGAGUGCUUUCCGUGCCGCCGGCGAGCGCAAGCAUGGCCGACGGUCGUGUUGCUCCGAGCGCCGUUGCGCGCUCCCUGAUGUGCUGAGCGUCGUGGGGACGCUGGUUUUCACCGCAGGGCGCAGUUUCCAAGGCCUGUGGACUGCGUGCCGCCUGGCGAUCCCGAGCCGUAGGGCACGGCCUUGACCCGCGAGCCGUGUGUCGGACAGCCUUGCCGCGGUCCGACGACCCCAAGGUCUCAUCGCGCGGGUCCUUCUUGGGGAACUCCUGAGCGCCGCGGGUUGUUCUCGCCCGGGCUUGCCAAAGCCGGAGCUUGAGGAACGCCCGUCGCCCACCGUCAGCGAUCCGCCUGCUGCGUUAAAUACCAGCGGGCCUGUGGAUGAUAGCUACGUUCGGUACCCGUGAGUGCACUAGACUUUUAUCCCAGGUUUUGGCCAAGACCCCGCGUCUCGUUCAUCUCGCGAUCGUAGAUUAAGGUUUACUAUAGUGUCACCCCAUAACCGCCGACAGUUUAGAGAAACCGAUUGUAUUCUGAGCAGCGCCCGCCCUAAAGCGGAGUGCAUUGUAGUAGUUAGCGAAUUGUAUUAAAUUGCAUGUCAUAUA